UGGGGAAUCUUGCGCAAUGGCCGAAAGGCUGACGCAGCGACGCCGCGUGUGGGAGGAAGCUCUUCGGGGUGUAAACCACUGUUGCCCGGGACGACCACACCUAUUCGUAGGUGCUGACGGUACCAGGUGAGGAAGCACCGGCUAACUCUGUGCCAGCAGCCGCGGUAAUACGUAGGAGGCGAGCGUUGUCCGGAGUUACUGGGCGUAAAGGGUGCGCAGGCGGCCCGGCAGGUGGGUGGUGAAAGCUCCUGGCUCAACUGGGAGAGGGCCAUGCAGACGGUCGGGCUUGAGGGUCGCAGAGGGGCGUGGAAUUCCGGGUGGAGCGGUGAAAUGCGUAGAGAUCCGGAGGAACACCGACGGCGAAGGCAGCGCCCUGGACGACUCCUGACGCUCAGGCACGAAAGCUGGGGGAGCGAAC
rnacentral:rRNA from 1 species